rnacentral:rRNA from 1 species
GAGUUUGAUCCUGGCUCAGGAUGAACGCUAGCGGGAGGCUUAACACAUGCAAGUCGAGGGGCAGCACGAGGUAGCAAUACUUUGGUGGCGACCGGCGCACGGGUGAGUAACGCGUAUGUAACCUACCCUGUACAGGGGGAUAGCCCGGAGAAAUUCGGAUUAAUACCCCAUAAAGAUAUUUUGAGGCAUCUUAAGAUAUUUAAAGUUUCGGCGGUACGGGAUGGGCAUGCGUAACAUUAGCUAGUUGGUAAGGUAACGGCUUACCAAGGCGACGAUGUUUAGGGGUCCUGAGAGGGUGAUCCCCCACACUGGUACUGAGACACGGACCAGACCCCUACGGGAGGCAGCAGUGAGGAAUAUUGGUCAAUGGGCGUAAGCCUGAACCAGCCAUCCCGCGUGCAGGAAGACGGCGCUAUGCGUUGUAAACUGCUUUUCCAGGGAAAGAAAACCCCCGACGUGUCGGGGCUUGCCGGUACCCUGGGAAUAAGCAUCGGCUAACUCCGUGCCAGCAGCCGCGGUAAUACGGAGGAUGCGAGCGUUAUCCGGAUUUAUUGGGUUUAAAGGGUGCGUAGGCGGAUUACUAAGUCAGUGGUGAAAACCUUCAGCUUAACUGGAGACUUGCCAUUGAUACUGUUAGUCUUGAGUACGGUCAAGGUAGGCGGAAUGUGUAAUGUAGCGGUGAAAUGCUUAGAUAUUACACAGAACACCGAUGGCGAAGGCAGCUUACUGGGCCAUUACUGACGCUGAUGCACGAAAGCG